rnacentral:rRNA from 1 species
UACGAAGGGGGCAAGCGUUGUUCGGAAUGACUGGGCGUAAAGGGCGCGUAGGCGGUUCGUUGCGUCAGAUGUGAAAGCCCCGGGCUCAACCUGGGAACUGCAUUUGAUACGGGCGGGCUUGAAUCCAAGAGAGGGUGGUGGAAUUCCCAGUGUAGAGGUGAAAUUCGUAGAUAUUGGGAAGAACACCAGUGGCGAAGGCGGCCACCUGGCUUGGUAUUGACGCUGAGGCG